rnacentral:rRNA from 1 species
UUAAGCAUAUCAAUAAGCGGAGGAAAAGAAACCAACCGGGAUUGCCUCAGUAACGGCGAGUGAAGCGGCAAGAGCUCAAAUUUGAAAUCUGGCCCCCUCGGGGUCCGAGUUGUAAUUUGCAGAGGAUGCUUCGGGUGCGGCCCCCGUCUAAGUGCCCUGGAACGGGCCGUCAUAGAGGGUGAGAAUCCCGUCUGGGACGGGGUGUCCGCGUCCGUGUGAAGCUCCUUCGACGAGUCGAGUUGUUUGGGAAUGCAGCUCUAAAUGGGUGGUAAAUUUCAUCUAAAGCUAAAUACUGGCCGGAGACCGAUAGCGCACAAGUAGAGUGAUCGAAAGAUGAAAAGCACUUUGAAAAGAGAGUUAAAAAGCACGUGAAAUUGUUGAAAGGGAAGCGCUUGCGACCAGACUCGCCCGCGGGGUUCAGCCGGCAUUCGUGCCGGUGUACUUCCCCGCGGGCGGGCCAGCGUCGGUUUGGGCGGCCGGUCAAAGGCCCCCGGAAUGUAGUGCCCCUACGGGGGCACCUUAUAGCCGGGGGUGCAAUGCGGCCAGCCUGGACCGAGGAACGCGCUUCGGCACGGACGCUGGCAUAAUGGUUGCAAACGACCCGUCUUGAAACACGGACCAAGGAGUCUAACAUCUACGCGAGUGUUCGGGUGUCAAACCCGUGCGCGCAGUGAAAGCGAACGGAGGUGGGAGCCCCCCCGCGGGGCGCACCAUCGACCGAUCCUGAUGUCUUCGGAUGGAUUUGAGUAAGAGCGUAAAUGUGGGGACCCGAAAGAUGGUGAACUAUGCCUGAAUAGGGCGAAGCCAGAGGAAACUCUGGUGGAGGCUCGCAGCGGUUCUGACGUGCAAAUCGAUCGUCAAAUUUGGGUAUAGGGGCGAAAGACUAAUCGAACCAUCUGGUAGCUGGUUCCUGCCGAA